GUUCCUCUGCUUCACUUUUAACAAAACACAGAUCUGAAUUUCUAUCUCUUUUCACUCUCUUGUACAACUAUCUCUCCUAAAAGUCUCUGCAAAUUAUUUAAUUUCUUCGAAGUAGUAUGUAUUUUGUUUCAAAUUUAGACUUCUCGAUUGAUCUGUGUUCCAUUUUGAAGAUUUCGGAUGAGGCUUUUUCAGCUUAGGGUUCUUUAUUUUGGAGUUCAAUUAACUGGAUGUAUUCAGUGAAACUUCAAUUAACUCAUCUCUCUCUUGAUUUCAGUGCUUCCUCGAUUUGGGUUUUUGAUUUGGAGCUUGUUCAGUGAAUUAUGGCUUCGAUUUGUGGAUAUAUUAUUAUGUGAGUUAGAGAUUUGGAUUUGGGGCUUGUUCAUACUCACUAAUUAUGAUAGGAGAAUCCUCUUAUAGGGAUAUAUGUCUAUGCAAAGAAUCUUAUACUUGGUGUCAAGUUCGUGACGCUGCAUGACAAAGGCAAUGGUGAAUUUUUGGAUGUGUCUAGCAAUUUUAUAUUCACACAGAAUGAUGUUGGUAAGAGCAGGGCACUUGUUUAUGUUUAACAGCAAGCUGCAGAAGCUUAACAAUGUUGUCGUUGUUACCAGUUUGACCAUUAAAUUUACCAAGGAGCAACUCUCUGGCUUUCAGCCUUCAUGGGCUAAUACCAGCUGAGAAUAUGGAACAAGGAAGAAAGAUGUUUUUGCUCCUAAUGGUCACAUUAACUCAACCAAGCAAUCACCGGAGACAUAGAGAUACUGUAAAAUAUUUCAAGAUUUGAUGGUAGCUCGACAUGAUCAAAUUAAUUUUUCAUGUAGUUAUUGUAUUUGGUAUUUUUGUAAAUGCAUGAGGACAAGUUAUAUAUCAAAAACAAGUAAACCACCUUUUAUGAAGAAACAGAAACAAUGGAUUAUUCGUUAAACCAUUGUGUAAAUAAACUAAAAAUAACAUUUGGUA